rnacentral:rRNA from 1 species
GAUGAACGCUGGCGGCGUGCCUAAUACAUGCAAGUCGAGCGAACGGACGAGAAGCUUGCUUCUCUGAUGUUAGCGGCGGACGGGUGAGUAACACGUGGAUAACCUACCUAUAAGACUGGGAUAACUUCGGGAAACCGGAGCUAAUACCGGAUAAUAUUUUGAACCGCAUGGUUCAAAAGUGAAAGACGGUCUUGCUGUCACUUAUAGAUGGAUCCGCGCUGCAUUAGCUAGUUGGUAAGGUAACGGCUUACCAAGGCAACGAUGCAUAGCCGACCUGAGAGGGUGAUCGGCCACACUGGAACUGAGACACGGUCCAGACUCCUACGGGAGGCAGCAGUAGGGAAUCUUCCGCAAUGGGCGAAAGCCUGACGGAGCAACGCCGCGUGAGUGAUGAAGGUCUUCGGAUCGUAAAACUCUGUUAUUAGGGAAGAACAUAUGUGUAAGUAACUGUGCACAUCUUGACGGUACCUAAUCAGAAAGCCACGGCUAACUACGUGCCAGCAGCCGCGGUAAUACGUAGGUGGCAAGCGUUAUCCGGAAUUAUUGGGCGUAAAGCGCGCGUAGGCGGUUUUUUAAGUCUGAUGUGAAAGCCCACGGCUCAACCGUGGAGGGUCAUUGGAAACUGGAAAACUUGAGUGCAGAAGAGGAAAGUGGAAUUCCAUGCGUAGCGGUGAAAUGCGCAGAGAUAUGGAGGAACACCAGUGGCGAAGGCGACUUUCUGGUCUGUAACUGACGCUGAUGUGCGAAAGCGUGGGGAUCAAACAGGAUUAGAUACCCUGGUAGUCCACGCCGUAAACGAUGAGUGCUAAGUGUUAGGGGGUUUCCGCCCCUUAGUGCUGCAGCUAACGCAUUAAGCACUCCGCCUGGGGAGUACGACCGCAAGGUUGAAACUCAAAGGAAUUGACGGGGACCCGCACAAGCGGUGGAGCAUGUGGUUUAAUUCGAAGCAACGCGAAGAACCUUACCAAAUCUUGACAUCCUUUGACAACUCUAGAGAUAGAGCCUUCCCCUUCGGGGGACAAAGUGACAGGUGGUGCAUGGUUGUCGUCAGCUCGUGUCGUGAGAUGUUGGGUUAAGUCCCGCAACGAGCGCAACCCUUAAGCUUAGUUGCCAUCAUUAAGUUGGGCACUCUAAGUUGACUGCCGGUGACAAACCGGAGGAAGGUGGGGAUGACGUCAAAUCAUCAUGCCCCUUAUGAUUUGGGCUACACACGUGCUACAAUGGACAAUACAAGGGGCAGCGAAACCGCGAGGUCAAGCAAAUCCCAUAAAGUUGUUCUCAGUUCGGAUUGUAGUCUGCAACUCGACUACAUGAAGCUGGAAUCGCUAGUAAUCGUAGAUCAGCAUGCUACGGUGAAUACGUUCCCGGGUCU